rnacentral:rRNA from 1 species
AUUGAACGCUGGCGGAAUGCUUUACACAUGCAAGUCGAACGGUAGAGGGGGCAACCCCUCGAGAGUGGCGAACGGGUGAGUAAUAUAUCGGAACGUGCCCAGUCGUGGGGGAUAACGUAGCGAAAGUUACGCUAAUACCGCAUACGAUCUAAGGAUGAAAGCGGGGGAAUCGAAAGAGCCUCGCGCGAUUGGAACGGCCGAUAUCAGAUUAGGAAGUUGGUGGGGUAAAGGCUCACCAAGCCAACGAUCUGUAGCUGGUCUGAGAGGACGACCAGCCACACUGGAACUGAGACACGGUCCAGACUCCUACGGGAGGCAGCAGUGGGGAAUUUUGGACAAUGGACGCAAGUCUGAUCCAGCCAUUCCGCGUGCAGGAUGAAGGCCCUCGGGUUGUAAACUGCUUUUGUACGGAACGAAAAGGUUUCUAUUAAUACUAGGAGCUCAUGACGGUACCGUAAGAAUAAGCACCGGCUAACUACGUGCCAGCCGCCGCGGUAA